UGUCAAUAAUAUGCCGCGGAAACGCAUCUGACAUAGAAAAAGAAACGCAUCUGUUGUCCUCGCCUCCUAAAUAAUCUAUCGAGAACAUCUCAAGGGAAAAAAACCCAGCGAUGACAAUAAAUUUCGAUCUGGCCGGCGCAAGGCCAGCAUCUGCGACGCCGGCCAUGGCGGAAGUGGCCGACGCAACCCAAAUAUCUGCUGGACGUCGGCCUUUGUCCUGAACUCGACUGGCCGACGCAACCCCAAUAUCUGCUGGACAGCGCCUCUGAUUUCUCGAUUAUCACAGGCAAGCGAUGUUCUACUCUUUCCAACCAGAUCCGGGAUCUUUUUGUGUUUAUGUGGAUUUAAGGUUAUUUGAAUCUCCAGAACUUGCAGAGUUCACACCACAAUGCAAUCAACGGAGGGGGGCAUCCAGUGCAGUUUGAAUCAUGGUUGGUUUGAAUCAGAUUAGCGGCACUGCAUCCAUGGCCCUCUUAAUCGGCUUGCACUUGGAUUAUCCAGCAUCGAUCAAGGUCAGCCUUUCAAUAACAAUAUUAGAGCCAUGACACUUAAUAUGUCAGAUCAUAUUUGUGCGUUAAAUCUCAAACCUAUCAUAUAUAUUAAUCCGUUGCAACCUUUCCCUGUGAUUGUAUAUAACUUAAUUAAUGGGCUCUAAUGUGAUAUCCUAAACUUUUGACUCUUCCAGCCGUUUAAAGUUGUCGAGUUUAACAUUUAGUAUUUGAAUGGAAAACAAUCAUGCAUUAAAUCCUCCAUAGAUGUAUUCAGAGAUAAAGUGUAUAUGUAUUAACUUCUAAAUCCCCAACUUCUGGAAAUAGAGGAAACGAUUUACAAGGAGGGACAUAAAAUAGGUAUUCUUAGCUCAAAUUUGUGUGAGUGAUAUGGUUCGGUCUGGACUCGCCUGCACAUGUCAAGCGUGUACGAACACUCACUGAAGCUAAACUGAUAGGCGUGAAACCAAGAUGACCAUGUAUAGAGCAAGGUUAUAGCAGUUCUACAAUUCAGAGUAUGUAUUAUUUUAUUUUUAGAGAAUCAUAUUGAGAUCCAAACUUACUUAAACCUCACUCAAGUAUAUAGUACUAGCAGAUAGUAAUUGCCAUAGAUAAGUGCUCACAGGCAAAAGGAUUGGUGGCCAGCAUGACUUUCUAAAAAAACCUGUACUAGAGUUCAUGACAAAACUCUGAACUUGAUGCCUAUUUGCAGGCUAAGAGAAGUUGGUUGCAUAGGUACAAACAUAAUUCUGAAUCUUCUUCCACCUAUGUCAUGGGUUACUAAUUGUUACAUGUGUGUGCUUACAAACUGCAGUCUGUAGGUGCUUCUAGGCUUAAACCAAAAUUGUUUCUGAACCAAGUAUGGAAUAGUACAACAGCAGGCAGGCAACGAAAAUCUUCCAUAAAAUAGCCUUGCCACUUUCAGCUAUACCUGGACGAGUGGGUGCCUAGCUCAGGUUCUGGAUGGCUCUGGAUUUUUUUUAUUUCUAAUAGUGAUGUAUGCAUAGAUGGAGUGAUAUGCAUUCAGGAGGUCAAGAAGGCGGCCUCUUAAUUUUCCUCAUGGUUUCUACUUUGUUAGCAUUGAUGUCUUUACUUUCUUUUUCAUUGAUGUCCUACAAAAUUAAGAACUUAUUUGAGUUGAUUUUUAUAUGAUUUAUGUUUUCUGCUGCAUAUGAAGUUUUCUUUGUUGCAGCUGCCAUCUGAUCAAGAUCUGAUCCACUAACACUAGGGAACUUCGAAGAAAGUUAUAUGCAGUGACUCAUUCCGUGACGAUGCACUGUAUGUUGUAGUAGUCUAUGUAUGUAUAUGCUGUAUAUACAUGAGGACACUAUAGUAGGAGUACAUCUUGAGCAGAUAAAACAGUUUAACUUCUAUUUUUUACUCUAAAUUGUAUAAUGAUCUAUGUCCCACAAACCAGAUUGUGCAUUGCUUCAAAAUUAAUUGUUCCUUAUUUGUUAA